GCCCACGCCCGGCCGCCCGCCCGUCCUCUGCGCCGGGGACAAGUCCUUCCACCGAGGCCGGGUCCCCGCGCCUUCCCUAGCGCCCUGCCUCUCUUUGGCCGCGCUCGCAGGACCGCCUGUAGGAGAGUGAAGCCCCAGGGUUUCCUUGCUGAUGGAGUCCCCCACCUUCCCCAGCCUUCCUGUUCCCGGGCUGGUUACGGCGGCGAAGGGAGACCUUGCCUCUCCCCAGCCUUGGAAGCAGAGGGCUGGAGGUGGCCUUAUGUCCACUGCCUGCGACUCUGGACUUGAAGGGAAGAAGUAAUCGAUCAUGAUGACCGUGAAAGAAACACGUCUCCCUUCAUCCCAGGACCCCUGGUGGACACUGGGUGGUUUAGCAUCCGGACUAUGGAGAUGCUUUGGAGGUGUUGGCAGGACUACGGUUGAGCCCUUAUUUGAUAUUUACCGAUUGAGAAAGAACCAAGAUUAAGAGGCCUGGAACUCAUCAGGGGUAUUUUAUUUAUCCUGCCUUUUCCUCAUUUCCUCUCCUGCUGUCAUGCUUGUUUAUUGAGCACCUACUGUUUAUGGGAAGAAAAGAUAAUAGACAAGAUACUUGACCUCAAACCCAUGAAAAUUUAAUAGUUACAUGUCAUCAUCCUCGGGCCAGCAGCGGUAUGUGUUCUGGUCUUGCUUCCUGGACCACCCAGAAGAGACUUUAUAGCCCCAGCCAUCAGGGGUAUAGUGUGUGCCCAGUGUGUUUUCUAUCCCUGGCUUCCAAAAAGUCCUGGAAGAAAGAAUAGGUGUGACCAGAAAGUCCUUCACCUCCGGAAUCUAAGUGGAUAUGCACUAUUCACAAUAACAAAGACAUGGAAUCAACCCAAAUGCCCAUCAAUGAUAGACUGGAUAAAGAAAAUGUGGUACAUAUACACCAUGGAAUACUGUGCAGCCAUAAAAAGGAACAAGAUCGUGUCCUUUGCAGGAACAUUGAUGGAGCUGGAAGACAUUAUCCUUAGCAAACUAACACAGGAACAGAAAGACCAAACACUGCAUGUUCUCACUUAUAAAUAGGAGCUGAACAAUGUGAACACAUAGACACAGGGAGGGAAACAACACACACUGGGGCCUGCCUGGCAGGGUGGAGGGCAUGGAUGGAGGGAGAGCAUCAGGAAGAAUAGUUAAUGCAUGCUGGGCUUAAUACCUAGGUGAUGGGUUGAUAGGUCUAGCAAAU
rnacentral:lncRNA from 1 species